rnacentral:rRNA from 1 species
ACCCCGGCUCGCGUCCCGGGGAGCGUAAAAAUAGAAUAACAAUACAAAAGCACGAUCAUAAAUCCGUUCUCUCAGAACGACACCCGAAAUGUAAACAUGGUUGUGAACUGUGGCGAGACACUCAUAAACAAAACACCGUCGUGCCUCCUGAUGCGUACCCCCCCCCCCCCACCAGUAAGUAAAAGGUCGUACAAGGUCUCCGUUGGUGAACCAGCGGAGGGAUCAUUACCGAGUUUACAACUCCCAAACCCCUGUGAACAUACCUAUUUGUUGCCUCGGCGGUGCCUGUUCCGACAGCCCGCCAGAGGACCCCAAACCCUGAUUACAUUUAAGAAGUCUUCUGAGUAAACCGAUUAAAUAAAUCAAAACUUUCAACAACGGAUCUCUUGGUUCUGGCAUCGAUGAAGAACGCAGCGAAAUGCGAUAAGUAAUGUGAAUUGCAGAAUUCAGUGAAUCAUCGAAUCUUUGAACGCACAUUGCGCCCGCUAGUAUUCUGGCGGGCAUGCCUGUCCGAGCGUCAUUUCAACCCUCAAGCCCCCGGGCUUGGUGUUGGGGAUCGGCGAGCCUCCGCGCCCGCCGUCCCCUAAAUCUAGUGGCGGUCUCGCUGUAGCUUCCUCUGCGUAGUAGCACACCUCGCACUGGGAAACAGCGCGGCCACGCCGUUAAACCCCCAACUUCUGAACGUUGACCUCGGAUCAGGUAGAUCCCGUACUGCGG